UCCGGCUUAUCACCGGCAGUUUCUUUAGAGUGCCCAACUGAAUGCUGGCAACUAAAGACGAGGGUUGCGCUCGUUGCGGGACUUAACCCAACAUCUCACGACACGAGCUGACGACAGCCAUGCAGCACCUGUGCUAGCGCCGGCAAGCCGGCCCAAACCAUCUCUGGUAAGGUUCACUAGCAUGUCAAGGCCUGGUAAGGUUCUUCGCGUUGCCUCGAAUUAAACCACAUGCUCCACCGCUUGUGCGGGUCCCCGUCAAUUCCUUUGAGUUUUAACCUUGCGGCCGUACUCCCCAGGCGGAGCGCUUAUCGCGUUAGCUACGACACCGAAGAUAAUUCCCCGACAUCUAGCGCUCAUCGUUUAGGGCGUGGACUAC
rnacentral:misc_RNA from 1 species